GCGAAGAACCUUACCAGGUCUUGACAUCCUCUGACAACCCUAGAGAUAGGGCUUUCCCUUCGGGGACAGAGUGACAGGUGGUGCAUGGUUGUCGUCAGCUCGUGUCGUGAGAUGUUGGGUUAAGUCCCGCAACGAGCGCAACCCUUGAUCUUAGUUGCCAGCAUUYAGUUGGGCACUCUAAGGUGACUGCCGGUGACAAACCGGAGGAAGGUGGGGAUGACGUCAAAUCAUCAUGCCCCUUAUGACCUGGGCUACACACGUGCUACAAUGGACAGAACAAAGGGSUGCGAGACCGCAAGGUUUAGCCAAUCCCACAAAUCUGUWCWCRGUUCGGAUCGCAGUCUGCAACUCGACUGCGUGAAGCUGGAA
rnacentral:rRNA from 2 species